CGCCAGGAACCAUGCGAGGGGGCUGCGCCCAACCCCGCCAGAUCCGGAAGGAAGCAACGGUAAGCGAGGGUUCCCUGCGCCGUGAUCAUCCUGGCGGCG
rnacentral:SRP_RNA from 1 species